UGGACAUCUAAUUAGUCAUUUCUGGUGCGGAAUCAUAAAAUACAUGUUCAGAAAGAACCAUAGACCUCUAUAGCCCAACACAUUCCAGCCAGCGUGCAGAAUUUUAAACCUCUUCACUCCAAAUAAUGUGUACACAAGGAUCGCACACGUUUAUUACUAUAUUAAUAACUUGCAAAUAAAAUUAAUUUAUUUAAUAUUUUGGUCUGUAACAACAAUAACCCGUAGGUCAUCU